GACGGAGGAUGCAAGUGUUAUCCGGAAUCACUGGGCGUAAAGCGUCUGUAGGUGGUUUAAUAAGUCAACUGUUAAAUCUUGAGGCUCAACCUCAAAAUCGCAGUCGAAACUAUUAGGCUAGAGUAUAGUAGGGGUAAAGGGAAUUUCCAGUGGAGCGGUGAAAGUGACGUAGAGAUUGGAAAGAACACCGAUGGCGAAGGCACUUUACUGGGCUAUUACUAACACUCAGA
rnacentral:rRNA from 1 species